GUGAUUACAGAACGCAGUGAGGGAAAUCAGUUUUGCUCCGUUCCACUUAUUUACGUGAUUCCAUAACGUAUUUUAGUCUGUGGUUGCUUGGUGAUGCUCAAAGUUUGCUGAGAACUAUUUCUUUGACGGAGAAGAAACAAACUAAUUGGCUGUUUUAUGUUAAAAAUCAGAUCCAAAUCGACAUAUUGCGGUUUCAGAACACAAAGUUUGCAGCAUCUUGAAACCCCAUGAUGACCCAUCACCUUAAUGCCAUGGAAAAGAGUGGUGUCAACAUUCUGCUACAGUAAACGUCUCCUUUGCUAUUUCAAGUUUUCAUGUUCUUCAAAAAUUGAGCCUAUGGGUACCUGUUUUUUCAUUUCCUGUUGAGAACCAUGCUGGGAUUCCUCACAAAUUCAAUAAGAGCAAAAUAACCCUGUGUGAUAAACAUCAAAGCUGCCACAUUUAAAAAGGAAGGACCAUAUGAUGAAAA